GUAAGCCAGCCAGGCACCCCUCCAUUUCCUUCUUUUAAAUCAUGGCUUUUUAACUAAUAGUCUCCAAAGGAAAAAGGACUCUCAAAAUUACUGCAGUUAAUGUCAUCAAAUUUAUAAGGUCUCAGUCCCAGAGUAGUUUUAGUAUUAAUGUACACUAUUAGGUAAGGAAUAUAAAGUAGCCAGGUCUUCCUUGGUUUAAGAGAUUUUUACAAUACAGAUAUGGUACUUAAUGAAGAGAUUGUGAAUGUUACAAAAAAAAAUUCUUGGUUACAGAGCCCCAGGCAAAGUACUUUAUCUCUAGAGGGAAAGCCAUUCUGUUAAGAUAAAAUUGACUGUGAUAUAGAUGACAGGUAACUUUUCCUCUAAGAGUUUUGUAAGUGUAUGCAAAGAGCCUUGUUUUCUUUGCAGUUGGCUCUCUGGACCAACUUUUGAAUAAUUUGUGGUACUUUUCUCUGUUUUGGAGGAAAACUUUCCUGUUUGCAUAGAUCUGCUGAAAUGGAUGGCCCUUAGAUUUUUGGCAUGAGUGAUUGUGCCCCAUGUGCAAAGAAAACCUGUUCUCUAAUCUCUCCUAAUAUAAUGAUGAUGGCCCCCUUGGCAAGUUAGAGUUUUUUCAGUCUUAUGAAGUACCUUUUUGCCCACAUAGUUGAUGACUCGGAAAGGAGGAGAGAAUUUAACCACUCAGUUUUCUGACAUGUAACUGUGGAUCCUACUCAGUAGUUUCUCAAGGAGGCUGAAAACCAUAUUAGCUACAUUUAGGACAAACGUAAAUCACUCCAGGUAAACUAACUUUUUAAAGAAAAGUAAUAAUGCAUUACGGAGGCCUUGGCUAGGUUCAUGAUGACACAGGACCUUGUCUGAACAUAAUGAUUUUAAAACUUGAGCUCAAAUGACACUCUGAAAUCUAGUCAAUGUGCCUCAGUAGACUUUUUAGAGAAAAUUAUUUUCAACAGAAAAUUUUGGCUUACUGUGAGAACUUUGAAUACUUAGAAAUGACAGGGGUAGCAGUAUACUUUGCCAGUUCCUCAGACAAUCCUUUUUUUGUAAAUAUUCAUAAAUAUUCUGAGCUCAUUAUUUUUUCCCUUUUUUUAAAACAUGCCAUUGAAAGCAAAAAACGAAGCUCAUCUUUACAUCUCAGAAGGCACAUGCAUAUGCCGAGUGGAAGCAAGGGGGUAAGAAGAUCUCUUCUUGCUUAGUGAGAUGAUGAAGGCCCAAUAAGAGAGCAGUAUUUGAAAUACAGUUCCAAGGAUAUGUUUGUUCUAUAUGUGAAUGUUGAUUUACAGCUUCAGGUGUUAAUACAGCAAAUUCAUCUCUGCCAAAACUUCAGAUUCUCUAUUUCAUCUGUCUGCCAGAGCAAUAUUUGGAAAAGAUAUGACAAACCAAGUCACAUUUCUUCAAAAAUCUGCAUUUGACAUGUUUUCAAGAGUUUUUAGAAAUAAGCAAUAAUCAGAGAAGAGGACAAAGAUUAUAUAAACUGAAAAUAAUUGAGGAUCUUUUGAAACUGUCAAAACUGGAACUUUCCGACUUUUAGACACUAAAUCUUUGGAUUCCUAAAUUCCGUGACCUUUUUUUCACUUUUAUCCCCUGAAUAAGACUCCCCUGAUAUGGAUCUUAUGAAAUUUGUGCAGCAAGAAACAAGGUGAUAGUCUGAGUGCCUCUGCAUUGAUCAGAUUGUGGGUUUCACAUUUUUCUGGAAUAUCCUGAACAAUUACUUAAGGACUGCUAUGAAGUCUCAACCUCAUUCUGAUUCUCAAGGGGUUUUUGACCAAGACCCUCCUAUAGAGACACUCUCUAGAUCUUGUACUCUGUAUUUAUUUCAUUGUCCAACAUGGUCAGUACAGCAUGGCUAAUUCCAAAUUAUUCCCCAGAAUGCAAGUGUAUGAAGUUAUCUACUGAAUUGAAAAUUUUUCAGGUAGAUGGCACUUAUAUAGUAUUAUUUGUCUAGAUUGGACAAUCUCAAGUAUAUAUAAACCAGCAUUCUAGGAAUAUCUGGAACGGACAAGAAGGACAACACAUCCUGACUUCAGCCAAAAGCUUCAACUGCAAAAUCACAGACAAAAUAAAUAAAGAUAUACACUGUCUUGAAGUUCAUCUUGCUUUUCAAAUAUUUAUAUUUCAUUAGCAAUCUUUGUAUUUAGAAAAAUAUCUGUUAUAUUUUUCUAUGGAUUAUCAAAUUGCCAUCAAAAUAUUUACUAGUAAGAGCCUUGUACAUGUGACUUUAAUACUUAUGUGAUAAAAGAAUUUUCUUUCUUUUUUUUUCUUCAAACCAUAUACCAUUUUAGUAACCUAAACAUAUUAACUAAUUUACUGGACAUUAUAGCUUAAGAAUAAAUACUUAGGAAAAUUGUGAUUGGGUAAUGGUAUUGAAAUCAAUAUAAAAUAGUGACGAAUAUGUAUGAACUAUUCAUUGGAUGUUAGUGAAAAGAAUGAAAUUCAACAUGUAAUAGUUCUUUAUUGUAUUUUAUUCUUUUUUGCUUACUAUUUCAUGGACUGUAAUGAUCAAGCAUAGAGGCUACAUUUAUAAACAAAUCUAUUGUUUUUCAAAAUGGUUGCUGUGUUAAUAGAGCUGGUUCCCUAGGGAAGUUUCUAAAAGCAUGUUUGGUAAAACUGCCUUCUGAAAAAGAUUUUAGGAAGGAAUGAGGCCGUUUUCUAAAGAUACACACAAUUUAUAUUCAUUCAUUGAGUAGGAGAGUGGAAAUGGACAUGAGAAAUGUUUAAUAUAUUAAUCAGGGGAAAAGUAAGGCACAAGUUAUUGUGUAUUUUGAGAAUAUAGUAUAUGAAUAAGUAGAAAUAAACAUUAAGGUAUUGUGAUUUCUAAGAGACUGCUAACAUGUAGAAGAAAUAUUUUUAAUACAUGAUUAUAAAAAUAGAACUCUUAGACUACCUCUAAGUGAUACACAUAUAAAAUCAUUUGGAUUAUUUUUUUGUGGCUUUUAGUGUGAGGCGAGGAUUGUUCUGUAUGCAGCUGUCACAAAAAAUUUUAUUAAGGCUGUUCUAUGUGGUUGUAGAUGUUAUUCUGUAAAUGGUUUUUAUGUUAAUAUUUGUAUGGUAUGAUAUUUAUUUAAUUCUCAUGAUGGAAUUACUACUGCAUAUGCGUCCAGCUUCUAUUUAUGUUUAGGAUUUGAUGGGUUUUUUUAUUCUAUGUAUAUAAUAGAAAAAUAUGCUAUGUUAAACGAUACUAUUAAUCAUGGAGAGAUGACUGAUAUUUGGGGCAUUUUAAAUGUUAGGAUAUAAUUUUGGCUAUCGAGAGGAGUUUCUAGACUGGCCUUGUUUGUAUUAGGCAAAUAAAAGCAGACUUUAGAAGGUAGAGAAUAGGAAAUUUUGGAGGGCUGUAUGUGUAUGCAUAUAUGUGGAGAUAGUUCUUAAACAGCCUCCAAGAACUAUCCAAAGGCUCAGCCUCUGAGCCUUUACUUGAUGCUCAGAUCCUGGGAAUCUAUAUAUAUUUUAUUAAUACUGUGAUGUUAAAUAUGUGUAGCUUGUUGUUUUAUCCAAUGGAAUUGUUAAAUUGCCUCAACAUUAAUUUCUUUUCAGUAGAUAACUGUUACACCUUUUGGUAAAGUGUUAUAUAAAAUGUGAUGUUCUUUAACAUCUACUUCUCUACAUACAUAGACGUCACUGUAAAUACAGCUUAUAUGGAUAGGCAUUUUAUUUUGCUUGACACAAAUGA